GUGCUUCAGGGAUGAACAGGUCCCUCAUAUUAACGAUAUCCAUCCAAUUCACUUUAUCAGCUGUCUUUUUGGUUUCUUGCUGAUCAUUACCGGAUGGAAUAUCC